rnacentral:misc_RNA from 1 species
CAAAACCCUCAAGCUCAGCUUGGUGUUGGGUCAUCGCCCCGUGUGGGGUGGACCUGAAAAUCAGUGGCGGUGUCACCUGGACUCAAGCGUAGUAGGCACUCACGCUCUGAAGGUGCAGGCUUUGACCACCGGCCAAGCAACCCCUAUCUUCAAUGA